CCACGUCAAUCGAAUCCUCAAACGAAGGAUCUAUCGGCAUUUUCCCAGUCACCAAUUCCAGAAGCACAACGCCUAGACUGUAUAUAUCACUCUUUUCGUCAAUCUUCAGUGUGUAUCCGUACUCCGGCGCUAUAUACCCGUAAGAUCCAGCCACCAUAGAAACGGUCUCGUUCUUAUGAAGCAUCAUCUUCGCCAAUCCGAAAUCUGCUAUCCUCGCUUCAAGGUUUGAAUCGAGGAGGAUGUUAUUAGACUUGAUGUCUCUGUGAAUGAUCGGAGGAUAGCAAUCGUUGUUUUUUGCGAGCUCUAGAUGCUGAAGCAUUGGUAAGUCACCUGAACCAGCUGGUAUAGAUCCGGAAAUGUGAUUUUUCUGGAUUCGAACACGAACUAAAGUCGGACAUGAGAAGAUUUCCUCCGGAAUCUGACCUGAGAAUGAGUUGUUGAAGAGAAUGAGCUUUGUGAGGUUUCUGGAAUAGCACAAUCCUGAUGGUAUAUCUCCUGAAAGCUUGUUUGAUGAGACGUCUAACCACUUCAAUGGGGAAUUUUUGCCGAGAUGCACCGGUAAUGAACCCAUGAGAGAGUUCUGCCACAGCUCAAGAACCUCAAGGUUUGGUAAUUCAGCAAUUUUUGACGGAAUGAUUCCCGUGAGUUGAUUCCUCAUCAAAUUUAGAAGCUGCAGAUUCUUCAACUCACCUACUUCCAUAGGUAUUUCUCCUGUGAUCUGGUUAUCAGACAGAUCAAGAAACACAAGAGAAGUCAUACCACCAAGUUCUCGAGGAAGUUUCCCUGUGAGACGGUUCUGGUAGAGAUAAACUGUUGUAAGUUGUUUCAGCUGCCCCAAAGAAGAUGGAAUCUGGCCUGUAAGGUUUCCAACAGCCAAAUCAAGGUACUGAAGGCGCGUCAAUUUCCCAAACUCUUCUGGAAUCUCACCCAUGAAGCCAUUGUAACCAAGAAUAAUGGUCUCCAAGGAAGAGAGCUCACCAAUCACCUUCGGUACCUUUCCACCAAAGUUGUUACCCGAAAGACCGAGAAACUUCAGAUUCUUGAGAUUCUUGAAAGAAGAAGGCACUGAGCCCUCGAAGUAACCUCCUCGAAAGUCCAAAACCUCAAGUGUAGUUGCGUUGCCAAGAUCUUCAGGUAGAAACCCCGAAAAAUUGUUGCUUGAGGCAUUGACGUGUGUAAGACCAGUUGCCAUUCCUAGACCAUAAGGGAAGGUUCCAAAGAAGCUGUUCACACUCACAUCAAUGACCUUCAAAGACGUGAGAUUAGAAAGAGAUUUAGGAAGAGAAGACUCAAAUGCGUUAUUGCUGAGAUCAAGGGCUUGCAGAGAAGGGAAGCUCUGAAUCUGAUCUGACACGUUUCCGCUGAGAUUCAUGUUGGAGAGAAGAAGCUUAGCCACAUAGCCAUUUGCAUCACAGUGAACUCCUGUCCAAUGACAAUGAACCAACUCAGAAAAUGUUGUGGCAUUCUCAGGUCUCUUCCAAUCUUGGAGAUUAUUUGAAGGAUCAAAAAGGUCUGACUUGAAGGCCAACAAGAUCUCUUGUUCGGAGUUUUGAAAUGUUUCAGAAGAAACAAAAGGGAAAAGAGCGAAACCAAUGUAAUAGAAGAGGAAGAAAA
rnacentral:lncRNA from 1 species